CACUCCUGCGGGAGGCAGCAGUGGGGAAUUUUGGACAAUGGGCGAAAGCCUGAUCCAGCAAUGCCGCGUGUGUGAAGAAGGCCUUCGGGUUGUAAAGCACUUUUGUCCGGAAAGAAAUCCUUGGCUCUAAUACAGUCGGGGGAUGACGGUACCGGAAGAAUAAGCACCGGCUAACUACGUGCCAGCAGCCGCGGUAAUACGUAGGGUGCGAGCGUUAAUCGGAAUUACUGGGCGUAAAGCGUGCGCAGGCGGUUUGCUAAGACCGAUGUGAAAUCCCCGGGCUCAACCUGGGAACUGCAUUGGUGACUGGCAGGCUAGAGUAUGGCAGAGGGGGGUAGAAUUCCACGUGUAGCAGUGAAAUGCGUAGAGAUGUGGAGGAAUACCGAUGGCGAAGGCAGCCCCCUGGGCCAAUACUGACGCUCAUGCACGAAAGCGUGGGGAGCAAACAGGAUUAGAUACCCUUGUAGUCCCAUG
rnacentral:rRNA from 1 species